UCUCCAACCACAAAAUCCAUCAAUAUCCAUAUGAAUAUAUAUAUCAACUUCUCCACAUAUUUCACGUUUCACGCAUCCAAAUUUUUGAUAGAAGAAAUCGAGAGAGAGUAGAGAGACUCUGAUUUCUGCCACCCAAUUCUUUCAUGCAAUUGCAAGGGUGAACUUGUGCACGAUUGUUGCGGUUGGAACAAGAAAGUGUUGAGGAGUUAACCAUUUGAGGUUGAGCGUGACGGGUGCGGUGGGUGUUGAGCAAGACCGUUGAAGAAAUUAAGUGU